rnacentral:rRNA from 1 species
AGAGUUUGAUCCUGGCUCAGGGUGAACGCUGGCGGCGUGCCUGACACAUGCAAGUCGUACGGGCGGACCCCCUUCGGGGGGCGAGCCAGUGGCGAACGGGUGAGUAACACGUGGGAACAUAUCCGCUGGUGGGGGAUAACUACCCGAAAGGGUAGCUAAUACCGCAUAAGCCCGAAAGGGGAAAGGUGCAACAGCAUCGCCAGUGGAGUGGCCCGCGGCCCAUCAGCUAGUUGGUGGGGUAAGAGCCCACCAAGGCGACGACGGGUAGCCGGCGUGAGAGCGCGACCGGCCACAAGGACACUGAGACACGGGUCCUACUCCUACGGGAGGCAGCAGUGCGGAAUAUUGGACAAUGGGCGAAAGCCUGAUCCAGCGACGCCGCGUGCGGGACGAAGGCCUUCGGGUCGUAAACCGCUGUGGUAAGGGACGAAU